GACGUCGUGCCCGAGUGGUUAAGGGGAGUGAUUAGAAUAACUACAAGUGUUCUUCUUGUAACUCAACAAUCACUUACGCUCUGCGUGCGCAAGUUCGAGUCUUGUCGACGUCG